rnacentral:misc_RNA from 1 species
UUGAUUCAUUUGUUUUUAAAUCCACUCAGACAUGCCGCUAUGGGUAUACAGAAGAGUUUUGGUCCCCUGGCGGGCGGGCGCCUCUGCCUCCCUUGCGGGGGGCUCGGGUACCGCUGUGCCCGCCGAGGCAACGUUUUGGGUAUAAGUUCACAGUGGGUUUGGGAGUUGUAAACUCGGUAAUGAUCCCUCCGCUGGUUCACCAACGGAGA